rnacentral:lncRNA from 1 species
AUUUAUUCUUCAACCUUCAAGAAUCAACUUAAGGUGGUAAGAUUAAACCAAUUUCGAAAUCUUAGAUCACUUCUAGGUAUUCAAGAAAGGUGAUAAGUUUAGGCUUAUUGUUGUUCUUGUUAUAAUUAAGGGUCGGGUUUCACAAUUUUCGAAAUCUUAGAUCACUUCUAGGUAUUUAUGAAAGGUGAUAAGUUUAGGCUUAUUGUUGUUCUUGUUAUUCUAAAGGGCCGGGUUUCACAAU